rnacentral:rRNA from 1 species
CUACGGGCCGCAGCAGUGGGGAAUAUUGGACAAUGGGGGAAACCCUGAUCCAGCAAUGCCGCGUGUGUGAAGAAGGCCUGCGGGUUGUAAAGCACUUUCGGUUGGGAGGGCUGCUUCUAGCACUAAUAUUGUUGGAAGUUGACGUUACCUUCAGAAGAAGCACCGGCUAACUCCGUGCCAGCAGCCGCGGUAAUACGGAGGGUGCAGGCGUUAAUCGGAAUUACUGGGCGUAAAGCGCGCGUAGGCGGCUAGAUCAGUCGGGUGUGAAAGCCCCGGGCUUAACCUGGGAACUGCAUCCGAUACUGUCUAGCUUGAGUACAGGAGAGGAGAGUGGAAUUCCACAUGUAGCGGUGAAAUGCGUAGAUAUGUGGAGGAACACCAAUGGCGAAGGCAGCUCUCUGGCCUGAUACUGACGCUGAGGUGCGAAAGCGUGGGGAGCAAACAGGAUUAGAUACCCCCGUAGUC